GGACAUCGGACUUCAACAUCGACCUGAGGGUUCUCUACUAACAUCAUCGUCUCCGUGUGGAAGCAAGAUGAAGGCCAGCGUCUUCGUCCUCCUGGCGCUCAUCAGCGUCGUCAUGGUGACAGCCAUAGCUGACAAGGCUGCUGACCUCGAGAAGCUACAAGAGAUAAGCGAACUCCUGCAAUCACAGGGAGCAGCACAGGCGCCAGGCAACAGCAAACCUUUCAUCACUAGUGCACCUACUGGUGUACCUACCAAAUAGACAAUUCAGUCACGUGCCCUGUCGACGAUUGGACAGCCAAUGAAUCGCUCAACGCUGACGUCACGCAAUAAGUUUCAAUAAAACUGUAGCAGCACUCCA